GCUUAAUACAUGCAAGUCGAACGAAUGGAUUAAGAGCUUGCUCUUAUGAAGUUAGCGGCGGACGGGUGAGUAACACGUGGGUAACCUGCCCAUAAGACUGGGAUAACUCCGGGAAACCGGGGCUAAUACCGGAUAACAUUUUGAACCGCAUGGUUCGAAAUUGAAAGGCGGCUUCGGCUGUCACUUAUGGAUGGACCCGCGUCGCAUUAGCUAGUUGGUGAGGUAACGGCUCACCAAGGCAACGAUGCGUAGCCGACCUGAGAGGGUGAUCGGCCACACUGGGACUGAGACACGGCCCAGACUCCUACGGGAGGCAGCAGU
rnacentral:rRNA from 1 species